UACGGAGGGUGCAAGCGUUAUCCGGAUUCACUGGGUUUAAAGGGUGCGUAGGUGGGCAGGUAAGUCAGUGGUGAAAUCUCUGGGCUUAACCCGGAAACUGCCAUUGAAACUAUCUGUCUUGAAUAUAGUGGAGGUGAGCGGAAUAUGUCAUGUAGCGGUGAAAUGCUUAGAUAUGACAUAGAACAUCGAUUGCGAAGGCAGCUCGCUACACUAUGAUUGACACUGAGGCACGAAAGCGUGGGGAUCAAACAGG
rnacentral:rRNA from 1 species